GAUGAACGCCGGCGGCGUGCCUAAUACAUGCAAGUCGAGCGAACAGACGAGGAGCUUGCUCCUCUGACGUUAGCGGCGGACGGGUGAGUAACACGUGGAUAACCUACCUAUAAGACUGGGAUAACUUCGGGAAACCGGAGCUAAUACCGGAUAAUAUAUUGAACCGCAUGGUUCAAUAGUGAAAGACGGUUUUGCUGUCACUUAUAGAUGGAUCCGCGCCGCAUUAGCUAGUUGGUAAGGUAACGGCUUACCAAGGCGACGAUGCGUAGCCGACCUGAGCGGGGGGUCGGCCACACUGGAACUGAGACACGGUCCAGGCUCCUGCGGGAGGCAGCAGUAGGGAAUCUUCCGCAAUGGGCGAAAGCCUGACGGAGCAACGCCGCGUGAGUGAUGAAGGUCUUGGGAUCGUAAAACUCUGUUAUUAGGGAAGAACAAAUGUGUAAGUAACUAUGCACGUCUUGACGGUACCUAAUCAGAAAGCCACGGCUAACUACGUG
rnacentral:rRNA from 1 species